rnacentral:rRNA from 1 species
GGGGAGCAAACGGGAUUAGAUACCCCGGUAGUCCACGCCGUAAACGAUGUCUACUAGCCGUUGGAGGACUUGAUCCUUUAGUGGCGCAGCUAACGCGAUAAGUAGACCGCCUGGGGAGUACGGUCGCAAGAUUAAAACUCAAAUGAAUUGACGGGGGCCCGCACAAGCGGUGGAGCAUGUGGUUAAUUCGAAGCAACGCGAAGAACCUUACCUACUCUUGACAUCCAGUGAACUUUUGAGAGAUCAAUUGGUGCCUUCGGGAACACUGAGACAGGUGCUGCAUGGCUGUCGUCAGCUCGUGUUGUGAAAUGUUGGGUUAAGUCCCGUAACGAGCGCAACCCUUGUCCUUAGUUACCAUCAUUAAGUUGGGGACUCUAAGGAGACUGCCGGUGACAAACCGGAGGAAGGCGGGGACGACGUCAAGUCAUCAUGGCCCUUACGAGUAGGGCUACACACGUGCUACAAUGGCAUGUACAAAGGGUUGCCAAGCCGCGAGGUGGAGCUAAUCCCAUAAAGCAUGUCGUAGUCCGGAUUGGAGUCUGCAACUCGACUCCAUGAAGUCGGAAUCGCUAGUAAUCGUGAAUCAGAAUGUCACGGUGAAUACGUUCCCGGGCCUUGUACACACCGCCCGUCACACCAUGGGAGUGGGUUGCUCCAGAAGUAGAUAGCUUAACCUUCGGGAGGGCGUUUACCACGGAGUGAUUCAUGACUGGGGUGAAGUCGUAACAAGGUAACCGUA